AUGUUGAUCAGAGGUUGUCAGCUACAAUUUCCCCUGCUAUGUUAUGGUUUUGAAGGACAGUUGUGAUCGCUUUUUUGAGUUUGUGAAGAGUAGUAAUGCAGUUAGUCCAACUGUUGCUUUGGAAACUGCCACUGCAUUGCAGACGAGGAUAGAAGAAGUGACGCGCCGGCCACAGGAGCAGUUUCAAACGGUGCUAGUCUGCUAGAGGAACAAUGCAG